rnacentral:rRNA from 1 species
UACGGAUGGGGCUAUCGUUGUUCGGAAUUACUGGGCGUAAAGCGCGCGUAGGCGAGCUGUUAAGUCGGGGGUGAAAUCCCGGGGCUCAACGCCGGAACUGCCUUCGAUACUGGCAGCCUAGAGGAAGGCAGAGGCUAGUGGAAUGGCGAGUGUAGAGGUGAAAUUCGUAGAUAUUCGCCGGAACACCAGUGGCGAAGGCGACUGGCUGGGCCUUUUCUGACGCUGAGGUGCGAAAGCGUGGGGAGCAAACAGG